rnacentral:sRNA from 1 species
AAGAUGGGUCUUUAGUUACUUAUUUCAAGAUUUCCACAUAUAUCCGUCUUCUUCCAUCAUAUUUUUUUACACAAAAUCGUAUGUAUGACUAUUGUUACAUAAGCCUCUCUCCGUUUUCUCCUCUAAUAGUCGUCUUCGUCAUCUUCAUCAUUUCUUGAUCG